AAGACCUUGCGCUUUUGGAGCGGCCGAUGCCUGAUUAGCUUGUUGGUAAGGUAAAAGCUUACCAAGGCUUCGAUCAGUAGCUGGUCUGAGAGGACGACCAGCCACACUGGGACUGAGACACGGCCCAGACUCCUACGGGAGGCAGCAGUGGGGAAUUUUGGACAAUGGGGGCAACCCUGAUCCAGCCAUGCCGCGUGAGUGAAGAAGGCCUUCGGGUUGUAAAGCUCUUUCAGCCGGAACGAAACGGUUACGGUUAAUACCCGUGAUUACUGACGGUACCGGAAGAAGAAGCACCGGCUAACUACGUGCCAGCAGCCGCGGUAAUACGUAGGGUGCGAGCGUUAAUCGGAAUUACUGGGCGUAAAGCGUGCGCAGGUGGUUUUGUAAGUCAGGUGUGAAAGCCCCSGGCUCAACCUGGGAACU
rnacentral:rRNA from 1 species